GCUCGGUCAGCCAGCGUCUGGGAUGGGAGCGCUCCUGCAUUUUACAUGACUGCGGGGCCUGUUCCUUGCGCCUGUCUGGUCGCGUCACAUCAUGGAGGGUUUCUCGGGGCGGCCGGCCGCCUCUGAGCACAGCCAGGGUGGUGUUUGCAGCACAGCUGCUGCCUAGGCCUCGCUGCGGAGGUGCUGGGCCACGGCCCCGUGGAGGCAGAGCCGCAGGGCCAUCGACAUGUCCUUUGAAAACGGGCAUUUCCCCAACUCAUGCAGGUGGAGGGGAGAGCGAAGCCAAAUGGGACACCGGCCCCCACACACUGCCCCGGCUCCUGCAUUUCCGGAGAUGGAAACCUGGAGAGCAGCUGGGGCAUCAGACACACCGUGGGGUCAUAGCACAGACCUGGAUUUCCUAUUUCCAAAUCGUGAGGAUAAUGAACAUUUUGUUUCUUAGGAUCUUGAAAACGUGGGUUGGACUGCGUCACCCCGACCCCUGCCUCAAAGCCCCUCCGUGGUUGCCUACAGCACAGCUUGAAGCCCCUUGGUUCUGCUUCCCGGGCCUGCAGCGCUGGCCCCAGCCUGGCCGAGCGAGCAUUUGUUCACCCAAGACCUUUCCCCUCCUGCCCUCGUGGAGCCUCCACAAGGAGUAAACAACCACUUCUGGUCCCUCAAAGCAUCAACUCUGUGCCUUGCAGACAGCGGACACGUAACACAGCCACGCGGCGUGAACAUGAGCAGACUUCUUUUUUCCAGGAUGUGCACGGUUUCCACGACAAUGCCCACUGCACGCCUUAUGGCCUCACCAGAGACGUAAAGCAGAUGCCAAGAAACUUCCCCCCAAAAUGGGCUGGCUUGCCAAGCCCAGGACCGCCUGUCCAGCUGGGGCUGGGGGCAAGGAUCCCAUUUUCUGUGACUCUCUUUGCUCUGAUGGUCAGGUUCACCGGCCGUACGUGUAAUCUGAAGCAUUCGGUAGCGAUCUAAUUAAAUGUUAACACAUCAUUAAAGUGAUUUGCGAU
rnacentral:lncRNA from 1 species